CCCUCUUCUAUGCUCUCUCUUCCAUUGCAAUGAUGUAGCAAGUAAGCUAAGCAUGGGGGUUCUGAAUUGGCUAAUCAGCCAUGGGCACUCUCUCUGCUCUCCAAUUUAUUCUCCACAUUGGUAUUCAUACUAUCCUCCGGUGGUAGUGGUAUCCAUAUCCUCCAAAUUGGCAUCCAUAAAGCACAAGGUUGGUCAUGUCACUCUUCUCCUCAAAAAACUUUGGUAGAACCCUAUUACCACUAGAACCAAAUAUAAACAUUUCUGUUUGGCACUUCAAACUAUUCACUGUCUUACUCUAGCCUACCUCUCCUGAUAAAUUUUAUAAUAUUUCUCCUCCAUGUACUUUAUGUUCCAUCCAUACUGAUGCAUUUGCUAUUCCUCAUGUACAGUAUUACAUUUUCUGCCUUUAUGCCUUUGCAUAGGCUUUCCCCUCUGCUUGGAAUAUAUUACUUCUUUUCUUCUUUUACUUAGAAUCUUUGGCUACUUUCAAGGCUUAAUUCAAGUACUACUUUCUACACAAGACCUUUUCUGAUUAUUCCAGUUAUUAGAGAUCUCUGAAAUGACUUUGUAUGUAUUUAUUUUUCUGUGAACAUGUCACCCACCCCCUAAUUGAAGAUAUACUCCUUGAAGGUAAGCACUAUCUCAUUUUUCAUUUGUAUCAUCAUUGCCUAGUGAUGCCAUAUAUGCAUAAUGCCAUGCUCAUAGAAGGUGAGACACAGAUAUUAUUAUUCCCAUUUUUUAGGUGAGAAUUUUGAGACAAAGGUAUGUAAAAUGGUUUUCCCAGGGUUAUGCAACCAGUAAAUGUCUGAAACUGCAUUUGGACUUGCAUGUUUCUGAUUCCAGGGCUGGGUCUAUGCCACUUGCUAUGGGUUAUGGAAAACUUUUUGAUAUUGAAAAUGGGUCCUCAUGAUCCAAAGGCUUGGAAAUGACCUUUUUUUUCAGAGGAUCCCAGAUCUAGACUAGUAAGGGCUCUUGGAGACUAUCUAGUUCAGUCCCAUCAUUUUACAGAGGAAGAAAACAAGACCCAUAAAAAGGAAAGACAUUGUUCAAUGUCACACAGGUAGCACAGUAGAAUUUUAACCUGGGUUUUCCAUUAGAUCCAUACUUUUUCUACUACAUUAUUGGAACUUCCUCUUUGCUCAACAUUUUGUUCCAGCCAUCUUUUAUUUGAAAAAAAAAACUUACUGGAAGAGGAAUGUAUCUGAAUGACUGGAGCAGGCUCUGCUUACUUCUCUUUCAAAUGCCUAACUAACAUGUUAUUUUUUCAAUUCACUUUAUUGCAGAGUGCAUCAAGUUAGCUGUCCAUGGUUCUGAUCCUUGCAGGUGCCCUCGGCUCAGGAACUGUAACAACACUUCCACUGCUUCUGGAAAGGGCACGCUAAACAGAUGCCCAAUGUCCACCAUUACUAUGACUCCUUGGAUUGAAGUUCCUUUCACUUGGCACCACUCCCCAUAUUCCCCCAUUAGAAGGUGCUGGCAGCAAGUGGAGGUCCCUGAAUGAGGAUCCCUCAGCUUCUCCUGAAACUUUAAUGUUCACCUGAUGAGCCUGACAUUUUCCAAAGCUGUACCUGCCCAUUUAAUUACUAUCCACUACCUCAUUUAAAGUAAAAGGGCUCAUCUGUUAGGAGAAUGAAUGUGAAGAGCAAAGAAGCUUGUGUUGAUGAGGCACAAGGAGUCUAAAAUGUUUUGUGAAGUCAAGAAACUCAGGGAAGUUCAGAAAUAGGGAACCAUUCUUUAUGGCUGGAAUUUCAUUCAACAAACACCAGGCACCUAUGGAGAACUGUGCCAAGCAUUCUAAAAGUCACUGGUCUAGGUCUGAAAGGAUUCUGCCAGGUUCCUUUGUACUCUGUGCUGUUGGGCUUACAUUUGGUUAGGGGCUACCAUGAGGGAGUCUUUUAAAUGUUAUUUUCUAGUUAUACAUGUUUGCAAUGCCAUAAAACUGAUUGAGAUUUCAUGGCACAGGGAUAUUUCAUUUGUGAUCAGUCAUGUAGCAUAUGUGAUUUUUCCAAAGAGUCAAAGCUCCCAGGGAUAGUCAUCUGCUGGGUUGAAACUUGUGAAAAGCCUGGAGCACACAAGUGCCCUGAUUUGUUUGUGCCAUUUGCUGGUGGACCUUUACAAAUGGAUUGUCUUGGUGCACUUAUGCACCAUUGUAUUGUAUAUGCCUCCAGGAAAAUGGAUGGAGGUUUUUGACCUCAAAGAUGCUUUUCUAAUACUUGGAUUAUAGAAAAUGAACAUAAUAUCUUGUUAGAAGUCCAUCUAUCAGAUUUUUGUUUAGAGAUUCUAGGAUCACAGAAUUUGAACAAGAGAAGACCUCAGAGGCAAUUAGUUCACCUUCCUCCCUCCUGUUCCUCCCUGGAGAAUCUGUCCGUCAGAUUUGUUGUUGUUCAGUUGUUUUGGUUGUAUCUGAAAUAUUUCAGUUUGUGACCCCAUUUAGGAUUUUCUUCAGAAAGAUACUGGCUUGCCAUUUCCUUCUCCAUUUGACAGAUGAGGAAAUAGGGUUAAGGAAACAGAGACAAACAGGGUUAAGUGACUUGAACAAGGUCACACGGCUAGGAAGUUCUUGAGGCUGGGUUUGAACAAGCAUGGUGAGUCUUCCUGAUUCCAAGUCCAGUGCUCUACCCACUUCAUCACCUAGCUGUUCUCAAAUAGAAGAAGUCAUUGUCCAAGAUCACACAGAUAUCUAACUGGAACUGGAAGUUACCUUAGACUCAAUCUAGCCCAACCUCAUUUUAUGGUUGAAUGAAGUUAGAUUGUACAGUGAAGAGUGGUAGACCAUAAGUUUAAAUCUGAACUCAGGCAUUUACUAGUUGUGUGAUCCUGAACAAUUCACUUAAUUUCUGUCUGCCUCAGUUUCUUCCUCCAAGAAUGGGAUAACAAUAGCAUCCACACUCCCAAGUUAUUUGAACAAAUGAGAUAAUGUUCAAAAAGUUCUUUGUAAACUUUAAAGCAAUAAAUGCUAGCUGUUAUUACUAACAAACAGGUGGACUAGAAGCCAUUCAUUCUGUAUCUUCUUUUGAGAUUCUUAUUCAUGCCCUUCCAUAGAUAUAUUGUAAAGGACUCACAAAAGUGCCGGAGGUCUCUCUAGAUCUUUUGAUAUUUUGUGGGUAUCAGUUCUUCAGUUCUAUCUUGUUCACUUUUUUUUCUUCUUAUGUGACCUGCCUAAUUCCUUCCCCAAACAUACAUUUCCCAGAUGAUCAUUAUCAUGGUGCUUGUGGGACAGUCAUUUCACAGUAAAUAGGCUCCAGCCUGUCUAUGCCCUCUUCAUAUUUCUCUUUUGCCACUUGGAUCAACCAUCAUUUUGAUUCCUUGAAAUUUAUGAUAUUCUAUGACUUAUGGCCACAUAGUUUUUCUGUGAGAGUACUGUUUUUUGAAAAGAUUGAAUUGGAUAUAGUUAGGGAUUGUUGUAAGACCUUUACCAACUACUCUAGUUCAAUGUAGUUCACCCUGUUCCUCUUAGGCCAAUUUUAGACCCAGAUCAUUGCCUUCCAACUUUCUCUCCUUUUCUCUUUCCCCAGUGUAUUAUUCUUUCUCAUCCCUUGAUUUUUUUGAGUAUUAUUCUAUCCUAUUCAACUUACUACCCUGCUGUCUAUAUUUGCUCCUAUUCAUUGCCCUAAUAGUGAUAAAGUUCUUAAGUAUCUUCAGUACCUUAAGUAUCUUAGGUACUUCAAGUAUCAGAGAUAUCCUAAGCAUCUUAGUUAUCACUUUCUUGCUAGUAAUCCCAUUAUUUCCCUUGAUUAUUUUAAGUAUAUUAAGUACUUUAGGUAUCUCUUGUACUGUAGUAUCAUAGCUGCCACUUUCCCAAGUAGAGAGGUGAUCACUCUAACCCCACCGAUUCUCUUGAUUUUUUUUUCUGCUUACCUUUUUAUGCUUCUUUUGAGUAUUGAAUUUGAUCACUGAAUGUUCUUUUUAGCUCUGGUCAUUUCAUCAGAAAUGUCUGAAAUUCCUUUAGUCCAUCAAAUACCCAUUUUCCCCCCUUGGAGUAUUAUAUUCUGCUUUGCUGGGCAGGUGAUUUUUAGUUGCAGGUCCCAUUUCAUUGUCUCUGUUCAGCACCUAUCUAGAAACAUGCACUGAAGAACUAGUUCAAUGGGAUUGCCAUCUAGUUGCACACUGGAUUUGGUGCAUGCUUGACUGACCUUGACAAUAAUAUAAAUAACAAUGGGUGCCUCAUUAUUUUCUGGCUAUGGGGAGUGGGUGGAUGGAUACAAUAGCUCUCUUCUUUCUCACUCAGCUCUAGCCAGAGCAAAAGAGAUUCAGAGAUGGGGAAGUGACUGGCACAUGAAAGACACCCAAUAAAUACCAAUUGGAUCAAACUGAGGAAAAUAGAUUUGUAAAGGGAAGAGAGUCAUUGAAAGCACAUUGAAAAGAGGAAGUUCAUGAAGAGAUAUGAUUGUCCUAGGGAAUAACCCUUUUGUGAAGAUAUGAUCGAGCAGAUUCCCCUCUAGGUGCUCCAGCCUUUGAAGACCUGGGAAGGAAAGUUCUUAUCAUCAGCAAUCUUGACAAUGUCCAAUAGUUUGACAUCAGAAGCAGAUAUGGUUUUCUUAGUUGAAAUGAUGCUAAAGAAGAUUGUAUUUCCAAAGAAUUUGCUGCUGCAUUCUAAAUGCUAUAGAAUCUUUCCAUUUGACUUGCAAUUGAUACUUCAUUGUGUUGCCUUUCCUUAUUAGAAUGUGGGUUUUUUGAGAGAAGGUACAAUCUUGGAUUAGAUUGUAAACUCCUUGAGGGGAGGGUCUUUUGCCUCUUUUUGUAUCCUGGGCACUUAGCACAGUGCCUGUCAUAUAGCAAUAAAUGAUUGAUUGAUUGAUUAAUUUUCUAUUUGUAAUCCAAGAACUUAGCACAGUGUAUACUGAGCACAGAAUAAAAGUUUUUUCAUUCAUUC